UACGUAGGGGGCAAGCGUUGUCCGGAAUUAUUGGGCGUAAAGAGCUCGUAGGUGGUUUGUUACGUCCGCUGUGAAAUCCUAGGGCUUAACCCUGGGCUUGCAGUGGAUACGGGCAGACUAGAGGUAGGUAGGGGAGAAUGGAAUUCCUGGUGUAGCGGUGAAAUGCGCAGAUAUCAGGAGGAACACCUGUGGCGAAAGCGGCGCACUGGACCACAACUGACGCUGAGGCGCGAAAGCUAGGGGAGCAAACAGG
rnacentral:rRNA from 1 species